rnacentral:rRNA from 1 species
UACGAAGGGGGCUAGCGUUGCUCGGAAUGACUGGGCGUAAAGGGCGCGUAGGCGGCUUGCACAGUCAGGCGUGAAAUUCCUGGGCUCAACCUGGGGACUGCGCUUGAGACGUGUGGGCUUGAGUGGGGAAGAGGGUCGUGGAAUUCCCAGUGUAGAGGUGAAAUUCGUAGAUAUUCGGAGGAACACCAGUGGCGAAGGCGACUGCCUGGACGAACAUUGACGCUGAGGUGCGAAAGCGUGGGGAGCAAACAGG